UCCGUUUUCUUUGAUGUGUUGAAAAAGCAGCCUAGCUGAUGGAACAUGAAAAAGAAAGGGGGGUUCCUGUGAUCUGUAUACCUCUAUGUAGGGGUGAACUUCUUUAUGCGUGCAUGCGCGCCACAGGUGCUAAGUAGCCUUUUCUGAGUCUGCAAAGAAGGCUUUAAAGGCUGUUGCAGACUACUGGGUGGUGAUUACACACCGAAAAAAAGAUUUUUGCAUCAGCUGCUGUAUCACCAAAAGUGAAGUCCUACAUUUGAUGUGUAAGAAUCCAACAAAUGUAUCCUCUUUUGGGCACGAAGGAAAGAGAACCAAUGUUUCCUCCGCCAAACUGACUGGGAACGAUGAUAGGAAAGCGCAUAAGGAAUGUUUAAGAAGG